rnacentral:rRNA from 1 species
CCUACGGGAGGCAGCAGUAGGGAAUAUUGCUCAAUGGGGGAAACCCUGAAGCAGCAACGCCGCGUGGAGGAUGAAGGUUUUCGGAUUGUAAACUCCUUUUGUUAGAGAAGAUAAUGACGGUAUCUAACGAAUCAGCACCGGCUAACUCCGUGCCAGAAGCCGCGGUCAUACGGAGGGUGCAAACGUUACUCGGAAUCACUGGGCGUAAAGAGCGCGUAGGCGGGAGAGCAAGUAAGAUGUGAAAUCCUAUGGCUUAACCAUAGAACUGCAUUUGAAACUGUUAUUCUAGAGUAUGGGAGAGGUAGGUGGAAUUCUUGGUGUAGGGGUAAAAUCCGUAGAGAUCAAGAGGAAUACUCAUUGCGAAGGCGACCUGCUAGAACAUAACUGACGCUGAUGCGCGAAAGCGUGGGGAGCAAACAGGAUUAGAUACCCGUGUAGUC